rnacentral:rRNA from 1 species
GACGAACGCUGGCGGCGUGCUUAACACAUGCAAGUCGAACGGAAAGGCCCUGCUUUUGUGGGGUGCUCGAGUGGCGAACGGGUGAGUAACACGUGAGUAACCUGCCCUUGACUUUGGGAUAACUUCAGGAAACUGGGGCUAAUACCGGAUAGGAGCUCCUGCUGCAUGGUGGGGGUUGGAAAGUUUCGGCGGUUGGGGAUGGACUCGCGGCUUAUCAGCUUGUUGGUGGGGUAGUGGCUUACCAAGGCUUUGACGGGUAGCCGGCCUGAGAGGGUGACCGGCCACAUUGGGACUGCGAUACGGCCCAGACUCCUACGGGAGGCAGCAGUGGGGAAUAUUGCACAGUGGGCGGAAGCCUGAUGCAGCAACGCCGCGUGCGUGAUGACGGCCUUCGGGUUGUAAACCGCUUUCGCCUGUGACGAAGCGUGAGUGACGGUAAUGGGUAAAGAAGCACCGGCUAACUACGUG